UGGGGAAUUUUGGACAAUGGGGGAAACCCUGAUCCAGCCAUCCCGCGUGUGCGAUGAAGGCCUUCGGGUUGUAAAGCACUUUUGGCAGGAAAGAAACGUCGCGGGUUAAUACCCCGCGAAACUGACGGUACCUGCAGAAUAAGCACCGGCUAACUACGUGCCAGCAGCCGCGGUAAUACGUAGGGUGCAAGCGUUAAUCGGAAUUACUGGGCGUAAAGCGUGCGCAGGCGGUUCGGAAAGAAAGAUGUGAAAUCCCAGAGCUUAACUUUGGAACUGCAUUUUUAACUACCGGGCUAGAGUGUGUCAGAGGGAGGUGGAAUUCCGCGUGUAGCAGUGAAAUGCGUAGAUAUGCGGAGGAACACCGAUGGCGAAGGCAGCCUCCUGGGAUAACACUGACGCUCAUGCACGAAAGCGUGGGGAGCAAACAGGAUUAGAUACCCUGGUAGUCCACGCCCUAAACGAUGUCAACUAGCUGUUGGGGGCCUUCGGGCCUUGGUAGCGCAGCUAACGCGUGAAGUUGACCGCCUGGGGGAGUACGGUCGCAAGAUUAAAACUCAAAUGAAUUGACGGGGUCGAU
rnacentral:rRNA from 1 species